rnacentral:sRNA from 1 species
UGCGCGGGACCCAUGGUUCAGCUUCCACGUGAGAGCGAGAGCUUUCUCCGCACCUGCGGCGGACAAAUGGGUCCCGCGCAUGA